rnacentral:rRNA from 1 species
ACUGGGAUUUCUGGCAGGGUGACUCUGCCCUCUUGAUGAGUGCGCAGCGUUGCCCUACCAUCCUUCUGUUAACCCUUUAGAAUUAAAAAGUCUUUUGGGGGCUCAGAUAUUUUACCUUGAGAAAAUUAGAGUGUUUCAGGCAGGCUAGCGCCGGAAUACAUUAGCAUGGAAUAAUAGAAUAGGACUUUUACCUCUUCUGUUGGUCUGAGGGGUUCAAGUAAUGAUUAAUAGGGAUAGUUGGGGGCAUUAGUACUUUACUGUCAGAGGUGUAAUUCUCGGAUUUGUAAAAGACUAACUUUAUGCGAAAAGUUUUUGCCAAAGGGAUGUUUUUCAUUAAUCAAGAACCAAAAGUUAGGGGGAUCAAAAUACGGAUCCAGAUACCGGUAGGUAGUCUUAACCAUAAAACUUAUGGCCGGACUCGGGGAUCGGGGGGGCGAGAGUUAAUCCGCCCUUCCGCCACCGGUAUGAAAAAAACCAAAAGGCUUUUGGGGUUCCGGGGGGGGAGUAUGGUCCCCAAAG